rnacentral:snRNA from 1 species
GUACUUGCUUCGGCAGCACAUACACUAAAAUUGGAAGGCUACACAGAAGAUUAGCAUGGACCCUGCCAAGGAUGACAUGCAAAGAGAGACAUCCAGAUGGC